rnacentral:tRNA from 1 species
GAGGGUAUAGCUCAGAGGUAGAGCAUGUGUUUAGCAUGCACGAGGUCCUGGGUUCAAUCUCUAGUACCUCCA